CAAAACACUAUCAUGUAAUCCGUUUUGUUCAUGUAUUUGUUUAUGUAAUUUAAUAUUUAUACUAUUAUUCAUCAUUGUGUAUUGCUAGAUUGAUUUGGUUUAUAUCAACCGUGCAAGGGCUUUUGUCAAGGUCGUUAAAAAAAAACCCGUAGUAGUAGAUUAUGUUUAUUCAUGUUGUUAAUAUUGUGUCUAUAGAGAGCCUUAUUGAAAAUUGAUUUAAUGUUUUUUUUCGUAAAUAAAUAUGUUGAUUCUGAAUAGAGAAAAUAAAUAAUUUGGCCAGCAAAGGGAGAAAAAAAAUUUUGACAGAGGAUAUUUACCAUAAAAAAUAAUGUUAAAUUUGAAAAAAAAUAAUUUGUCGCGCCACUUCCCAAAAAUAAAAAAUAAAAUGCGCGCAUGCCUCCCC
rnacentral:lncRNA from 1 species